GUGAUCAUUUUGGCAGCACAUAUACUAAAGUUGGAACGAUACAGAGAAGAUUAGCAUGGCCCCUGCGCAGGGAUGACACACACAUUCAUGAAGCAGUCCAUUAAAAA
ensembl:snRNA U6 U6 spliceosomal RNA